rnacentral:rRNA from 1 species
AUUGAACGCUGGCGGCAGGCCUAACACAUGCAAGUCGAGCGGAUGAAGGGAGCUUGCUCCUGGAUUCAGCGGCGGACGGGUGAGUAAUGCCUAGGAAUCUGCCUGGUAGUGGGGGAUAAUGUCCGGAAACGGGCGCUAAUACCGCAUACGUCCUGAGGGAGAAAGUGGGGGAUCUUCGGACCCCACGCUAUCAGAUGAGCCUAGGUCGGAUUAGCUAGUUGGUGGGGUAAAGGCCUACCAAGGCGACGAUCCGUAACUGGUCUGAGAGGAUGAUCAGUCACACUGGAACUGAGACACGGUCCAGACUCCUACGGGAGGCAGCAGUGGGGAAUAUUGGACAAUGGGCGAAAGCCUGAUCCAGCCAUGCCGCGUGUGUGAAGAAGGUCUUCGGAUUGUAAAGCACUUUAAGUUGGGAGGAAGGGCAGUAAGUUAAUACCUUGCUGUUUUGACGUUACCAACAGAAUAAGCACCGGCUAACUUCGUG